rnacentral:rRNA from 1 species
CAGGAUUAGAUACCCUGGUAGUCCACGCAGUAAACGAUGAUUACUAGGAGUUUGCGAUACACAGUAAGCUCUACAGCGAAAGCGUUAAGUAAUCCACCUGGGGAGUACGCCGGCAACGGUGAAACUCAAAGGAAUUGACGGGGGCCCGCACAAGCGGAGGAACAUGUGGUUUAAUUCGAUGAUACGCGAGGAACCUUACCCGGGUUUGAACGUAGUCAGACCGGCCUUGAAAGAGGUCUUCUAGCAAUAGCUGAUUACGAGGUGCUGCAUGGUUGUCGUCAGCUCGUGCCGUGAGGUGUCGGCUUAAGUGCCAUAACGAGCGCAACCCUUAUCACUAGUUACUAACAGGUUAAGCUGAGGACUCUGGUGAGACUGCCAGCGUAAGCUGUGAGGAAGGUGGGGAUGACGUCAAAUCAGCACGGCCCUUACAUCCGGGGCGACACACGUGUUACAAUGGCAUGGACAAAGGGCAGCUACCUGGCGACAGGAUGCUAAUCUCUAAACCAUGUCUCAGUUCGGAUCGGAGUCUGCAACUCGACUCCGUGAAGCUGGAUUCGCUAGUAAUCGCGCAUCAGCCAUGGCGCGGUGAAUACGUUCCCGGGCCUUGUACACACCGCCCGUCAAGCCAUGGGAGCCGGGGGUACCUGAAGUCCGUAACCGCAAGGAUCGGCCUAGGGUAAAACUGGUGACUGGGGCUAAGUCGUAACAAGGUAGCCGUACCGGAAGGUGCGGCUG